rnacentral:tRNA from 1 species
GCUUCGGUAGUGUAGUGGCCUAUCAUCUGGGACUGUCACUCCCAGGACCCGGGUUCAAAUCCCGGCCGAGGCG